UACGGAGGGGGCUAGCGUUGUUCGGAAUUACUGGGCGUAAAGCGCACGUAGGCGGACCAUCAAGUUGGGGGUGAAAUCCCGGGGCUCAACCCCGGAACUGCCUCCAAAACUGCUGGUCUGGAGGUCGAGAGAGGUGAGUGGAAUUCCGAGUGUAGAGGUGAAAUUCGUAGAUAUUCGGAGGAACACCAGUGGCGAAGGCGGCUCACUGGCUCGAUACUGACGCUGAGGUGCGAAAGCGUGGGGAGCAAACAGG
rnacentral:rRNA from 3 species